GAUGAACGCUGGCGGCGUGCCUAAUACAUGCAAGUCGAGCGAACAGACGAGGAGCUUGCUCCUCUGACGUUAGCGGCGGACGGGUGAGUAACACGUGGAUAACCUACCUAUAAGACUGGGAUAACUUCGGGAAACCGGAGCUAAUACCGGAUAAUAUAUUGAACCGCAUGGUUCAAUAGUGAAAGACGGUUUUGCUGUCACUUAUAGAUGGAUCCGCGCCGCAUUAGCUAGUUGGUAAGGUAACGGCUUACCAAGGCAACGAUGCGUAGCCGACCUGAGAGGGUGAUCGGCCACACUGGAACUGAGACACGGUACAGACACCAACGGGAGGCAGCAGUAGGGAAGCUGAAGAAAUGGGCGAAAGCAUGACGGAGCAACGCCGCGUGAGUGAUGAAGGUCUUCGGAUAGUAAAACUCUGUUAUUAGGGAAGAACAAAUGGGUAAGUAACUAUGCACGUCUUAACGGUAACUAAUCAGAAAGCCACGGCUAACUACGUG
rnacentral:rRNA from 1 species